rnacentral:rRNA from 1 species
GCUCCACUAGCGUAUGUUAAAAUUGUUGCGGUUAAAACGUUCGAAGUUGAUCAUUGUCCAGUAUGGGUGUGACGUCGUCAUGAACGAUUGUCAUCGCUUUUCUACUCGGACUAUAUGACUGAACACUAAAUGAAUAGCGGUGAUGCCUUUCACUAGGCUAGCCGUCUAUUUAGUUCGGCUUACUUUUACCUUGAACAAUU